UACGUAGGUGGCAAGCGUUGUCCGGAUUUACUGGGCGUAAAGAGCGCGCAGGCGGUCGUUCAAGUCGCGUGUGAAAGCCCCCGGCUCAACUGGGGAGGGUCACGCGAUACUGAUCGACUCGAAGGCAGGAGAGGUAGUGGAAUUCCCGGUGUAGUGGUGAAAUGCGUAGAUAUCGGGAGGAACACCAGUGGCGAAGGCGACUACCUGGCCUGUUCUUGACGCUGAGGCGCGAAAGCUAGGGGAGCAAACGGGG
rnacentral:rRNA from 1 species